GUAGGGGUUAACAUGCCUGCCUGUCACGCAGGAGAUCGCGGGUUCAAAUCCCGUCGGGACCGCUCAA
rnacentral:tRNA from 1 species